ensembl:lncRNA
UGCAUUGUCGUCAAUUUUUCUGAAAAACAAAGAGGAAAGUGUGAAGAGAGAGAAAAGUAGGAAAGAGGAAAAGAGUAAAGUGUGAGAAAAAAGCAAAGAGAGAAGAGAGGAAAAAGAAGAAAGUUUAAGGAAAGAACAAAGAGAAAAAGAACAAAGUGUGAGGAAAGAGGAUAGAGGAAAAAAGACUAAGUGUGAGAGAAAGGGGAUAGAGGAAAAAAAGACUAAGUGUGAGAGAAAAGGGGAUAGAGGAAAAAAAGACUAAGUGUGAGAGAAAAGGGGAUAGAGGAAAAAAAGACUAAGUGUGAGAGAAAAGGGGAUAGAGGAAAAAAAGACUAAGUGUGAGAAAAAAGGGGAUAGAGGAAAAAAGACUAAGUGAGAGAAAAGGGGAUAGAGGAAAAAAAGACUAAGUGUGAGAGGAAAAAAAGACUAAGUGUGAGAGGAAAAAAGACUAAGGAAAGAGUGAGGAAAGAGGAAAAAGAACAAAGUGCUGCUUUACUCUUGUGUUUGAUUGUUUCAGAUGCUGAGAGAUCAAGCGGUGGACGUUCAUAGAGGAGAGGUGAGUUAGACAUUGUCACACAUUGCUGCUUUAUUCAUGUGUUUGUUUUUUUCAGAUGCUGAGAAGCCAAGUGGUGGACGUCCAGAGAGCAGAGAUCCUGAGAGAUCAAGUGGUGGACGUCCAGAGAGGAGAGAUCCUGAGAGAUCAAGUGGUGGACGUCCAGAGAGGAGAGGUGAGUUACACAUUGUCACACAUUGCUGCUUUAUUCAUGUGUUUGAUUGUUUCAGAUGCUGAGAGACCAAGUGGUGGACGUCCAGAGAGGAGAGAUCCUGAGAGAUCAAGUGGUGGACGUCCAGAGAGGAGAGGUGAGUUACACAUUGUCACACAUUGCUGCUUUAUUCAUGUGUUUGAUUGUUUCAGAUGCUGAGAGACCAAGUGGUGGACGUCCAGAGAGGAGAGAUCCUGAGAGAACAAGUGGUGGACGUCCAGAGAGGAGAGAUCCUGAGAGACCAAGUGGUGGACGUCCAGAGAGGAGAGAUCCUGAGAGAUCAAGUGGUGGACGUCCAGAGAGGAGAGAUCCUGAGAGAUCAAGUGGUGGACGUCCAGAGAGGAGAGGUGAGUUAAACAUUGUCACACAUUGCUGCUUUAUUCAUGUGUUUGAUUGUUUCAGAUGCUGAGAGACCAAGCGGUGGACGUCCAGAGAGGAGAGAUCCUGAGAGAUCAAGUGCUGGACGUCCAGAGAGCAGAGGUGAGUUACACAUUGUCACACAUUGCUGCUUCAUUCAUGUGUUUGUUUGUUUCAUAUGCUGAGAGACCAAGUGGUGGACGUCCAGAGAG